CUGGCGGCGUGCCUAAUACAUGCAAGUCGAACGAAACUUCUUUAUCACCGAGUGCUUGCACUCACCGAUAAAGAGUUGAGUGGCGAACGGGUGAGUAACACGUGGGCAACCUGCCCAAAAGAGGGGGAUAACACUUGGAAACAGGUGCUAAUACCGCAUAACCAUAGUUACCGCAUGGUAACUAUGUAAAAGGUGGCUAUGCUACCGCUUUUGGAUGGGCCCGCGGCGCAUUAGCUAGUUGGUGGGGUAAAGGCUUACCAAGGCAAUGAUGCGUAGCCGAACUGAGAGGUUGAUCGGCCACAUUGGGACUGAGACACGGCCCAAACUCCUACGGGAGGCAGCAGUAGGGAAUCUUCCACAAUGGGCGAAAGCCUGAUGGAGCAACGCCGCGUGGGUGAAGAAGGUCUUCGGAUCGUAAAACCCUGUUGUUAGAGAAGAAAGUGCGUGAGAGUAACUGUUCACGUUUCGACGGUAUCUAACCAGAAAGCCACGGCUAACUACGUGCCAGCAGCCGCGGUAAUACGUAGGUGGCAAGCGUUAUCCGGAUUUAUUGGGCGUAAAGGGAACGCAGGCGGCCUUUUAAGUCUGAUGUGAAAGCCUUCGGCUUAACCGGAGUAGUGCAUUGGAAACUGGGAGACUUGAGUGCAGAAGAGGAGAGUGGAACUCCAUGUGUAGCGGUGAAAUGCGUAGAUAUAUGGAAGAACACCAGUGGCGAAAGCGGCUCUCUGGUCUGUAACUGACGCUGAGGUUCGAAAGCGUGGGUAGCAAACAGGAUUAGAUACCCUGGUAGUCCACGCCGUAAACGAUGAAUGCUAAGUGUUGGAGGGUUUCCGCCCUUCAGUGCUGCAGCUAACGCAAUAAGCAUUCCGCCUGGGGAGUACGACCGCAAGGUUGAAACUCAAAGGAAUUGACGGGGGCCCGCACAAGCGGUGGAGCAUGUGGUUUAAUUCGAAGCAACGCGAAGAACCUUACCAGGUCUUGACAUCUUUUGCCAAUCCUAGAGAUAGGACUUUCCCUUCGGGGACAAAAUGACAGGUGGUGCAUGGUUGUCGUCAGCUCGUGUCGUGAGAUGCUGGGUUAAGUCCCGCAACGAGCGCAACCCUUAUUGUUAGUUGCCAGCAUUAAGUUGGGCACUCUAGCAAGACUGCCGGUGACAAACCGGAGGAAGGUGGGGAUGACGUCAAAUCAUCAUGCCCCUUAUGACCUGGGCUACACACGUGCUACAAUGGACGGUACAACGAGUCGCAAGACCGCGAGGUUUAGCAAAUCUCUUAAAGCCGUUCUCAGUUCGGAUUGUAGGCUGCAACUCGCCUACAUGAAGUCGGAAUCGCUAGUAAUCGCGGAUCAGCAUGCCGCGGUGAAUACGUUCCCGGG
rnacentral:rRNA from 1 species